AUAUGAUGCUGAGAGCAUUUGAUGCACAACUUUUUAAACCUCUCCCAGUACUCAUACAGAGACUCGCCUGGGUGUUGUUUGAUGCCGCAUAUCUCCUUCCUUAGUCU